GACGAACGCUGGCGGCGUGCCUAAUACAUGCAAGUCGAACGCAGUGGGGACGGGUGAGUAACACGUGGGUAACCUCCCAUCAGAGGGGAUAACACUUGGAAACAGGUGCUAAACCGAUACUGAUGGAUGGACCCGCAGUGCAUUAGCUAGUUGGUGAGGUAACGGCUCACCAAGGCCACGAGGCAUAGCCGGGCUGAGAGGAUGAUCGGCCACACUGGGACUGAGACACGGCCCAGAAUCCUACGGGAGGCAGCAGUGGGGAAUCUUCGGCAAUGGGCGAAAGUCUGACCGAGAAACGCCGCGUGCAUGAAGAAGGUUUUCGGGUCGUAAAACACUGUUGUUAGAGAGGCGGUAUCUAAACAAAAAGCAACGGCUAACUACGUGCCAGCCGACGCGGUAAUAC
rnacentral:rRNA from 1 species